rnacentral:misc_RNA from 1 species
UAUGGCGGCAAAUUUUUAUUUUUUAAAUUUUGGAUAAUUUAUUACUGUUACUGGGAUAUCAAGUUAAUAAUUUGUACCAUAAAACACCAAGCAAAGAGAGGAGAAGCUGCAUGACAUGCAGUCACAGCUUGGCAAAGAUUCGCAUCUCACGGAACAGAUUCAAAUUCUGAGGCAAGAUGUGCUGAAGAAAAACCUGGAGAUCGUCAAACUCCAGGACGAAUUAAAUGGAAAGGAAUCUCGAUCAAUUACCGAGUCCCUGGCUGAUUCUUCCAGGCGUCGUUCGUCGCCAACUCCUGAGAGGCAGCGAGUGCAGUUCUCUUUGAUGGAUUUAAAUAUGGACGAGAGUUUAGGAACCGGUGAAGCUGAACAACAGAAAGUGAUUGAAGAUUUAAAGUCAAAACUUAACGCUGUGACGGAAGUUUGUAAGCAACAGGAACGACAUUUCUCCAAUUUGGUCAAAGAUUUAGAACACAAACUGAAUGAAACCAUCAGUGGACGGGAUGAACUGCUUACUUUAAGACAACAAGAAUCUUUAAGUCAACAACAGUUGAUCUACCAGUUACAGGCUGCUCUGCAACAAAACAGCAAGACGCUGGAAAUGCGAAACGAGGAAAUUUCUGUUUGCGACAAACGGGUAAAGGUCGACAAAGAAAAACUGACACAAGCACAAAGUGCAUUGUUGAAGGUUUUUAAUGUUUUAAAAAAUGAAGAAAGUAAGAGAGGAAGUACUAACAUGCUAACUGGAGUUACCACUGAUAACCAUUCCUUGUAUACUGAAGAAUUUCUGACUCAAGUGUUGUCAAGUAUUCUCACAGACGAUGAUAGAAAUAUCUCUGAUCUGAUCGUCAAGAAUCAAGAGAUCGAGCAACAACUUCAAAAUCUGAAAGAAGCACACGAGCUGGACAAAACGAACUUAAUCCGUGAAUAUGAAACCAAACUCGUCGACUCGGAAACAGAUCAUGCGAAGUCUCUAGAUAUUGCAGCAAAUAGAACCUUGACGGAACGAAGUCGAAUUACUGAACUAGUUCGUGAUAUCAACGAGAAUAGGUUAAAAUAUGAGAAAACGAUUGAUGAUCACGAAAAAGUGAUAGCUACACUGGAAGAAAACAUCGAAGCAUAUCGCGUGGAACUUCAUGAUAAGAAUAAAAAACAUGAAAUCCAACGCAAUAAAGAUGUUGUCCUUCGCAAGAAAUUGGAAAACCAGUUAGAAAACCUUAGAGCUGAGAAAGAACAACUGUCGAACAAUAUGCUUGAAAUUAAGACAGCGUCCGAAGACGAAGUAAAGGAAUUAGCACUAAAAUUAAGAAAUGUCGACGAAAAGCACAAAGAUAAUGAAAAAGAACUUCUGGGUAAAAUUGUACAGCUGAAAGAAACUGUUGAAGAGAGAGAAGAAGAUAUAACGCGUAUAAAGAAAGAACAUGAAGCUGAACUAAAGCUUAAAACUGACAAAAUUUCAUCACUUGAGAAAGAUAAAGGUAGCGAACUAUUUGAAAGAAUGGAGAACAACCAUAAUGAAUGUCGUAAACAACUGUUGACACUAAAAGAAGAACUGAAACAUAAGACUGACGAAGUUUUAAAAUUAAUGGAGGAAUGUAGAAGAUUGAGAGAAAGAAUCGAUAAAAGUCAGGAUGAAAAAUCUGCCAUAUUGGCUGAAAAAGAAGAGUUGAACACCAAUUUUAAAAAUUUAAGUGAGAAAAUGUUGCGUAUACAGGAUGAAAAAUCUCGUUUAUCCAAUAUGGUGAGAGAAAACGUAGAUGAUUUAACUCGCGCGAAAGACGUUAUAAACAGUCUCCAGGUUGAACUGGAUGCAAGAGAAAAGAGUCUAGAAGUGUUCAACAAACAGGAAUCGAAAUUGGCAGAACUUUUGUUUCAGAAACAUCUUGUCGGGGAAUCUCUGCUUGUUGAAAGACAACAAAUUGUUGGGUUUCUAGAAGAGAAAGUUCAGGAAAAUGAGAAGCUGAAAGGAACUCGAGAUGCUCUCGCCCAAAACCUCGAAUCAAAGAUACAAGUUUUAGCCGAAAUGGAAGCGACUUUUCGAUCGAUGGAAACAAAACUUGAAGUGCGAAGUAAUGAAUUGGAAGUGAUCAUGGAAGAUCGAAACAAAGCUGUGAGAGAAGUCGAAAAUAAAGUUGUAGAAUUGACUAAAUUGAGAGAAGAAAGAGAUUCAUUAGUGACCCUAAUGAAUGGCAAGCAAAGUGAGAAAGAUAAAGAAAUUACCAAACUUUUAUCACGUCUUAAAGGCUCACAGCACGACCUCGCAAUGACAAGGAAAGUUCUUGAGGCAAAGAGGGAAGCCAAUGAAAAAGCAACAAAACUGGCAUCGGCGACGCAAGAGGAGAUAACAGCGAAGCGAAAAGAAGUAGACAGUCUCAAAGACAGAAUCAAGUGGCUUCAGGACAGCUUACAGGCUACUGCUGAAGAAAAAGUACACUUCGAAAGAAAGGCGUCGGAACUUACAACCGAACUAAGAGAUAAGAACCAAGAGAACGAGAAUAUUAGAGAGGAAUUUGAUAAAAUAAUGAAGUAUUACGAUAAUGCAAGUGGGCAGGUUACUCAAAUGGAAAUGGCACUGGAAAAGGCUGGCAUAAAGUUUGCAGAGUCGCAAGCACUUGUUGAAAAACUGGAACAAGAUUUGGCGAAAAUUAAACUGCAGUAUUCAUUGGAAGUAAAGGAGUUGGAAUUGAAAGUGAAGUCUGCUGAAGGAAGAGAGCAGAAUGUCCAAGUGGUGAAACCAUUUCGAUUCCAACAUGGCGGCGAUGCAGGAUUGCAAGGUUAUCCGGCGAAUGGGAUGGCAAUUGCGAAAAAUGAACUCGACGCAACGAAACAAAGAUUAACGGAAGAGACCGAGAUGACUGAAGGUUUUAAAACGCUUCUAAAGGACUUACACGAACUGAUGAAAAACAUGAAAGAUUCAAGUAUCAUGCUGAAGAGAGGAAGUGAUGCUGGUAAAAAAACCCCCAGAAAGGUUAAAAGUGAAGUUCCGAAAAAAGCUGAAGGAAAGGAAACAGUUGCCACGACGAGACAGUCAAAGAAUGAGCCGGCAAGAAUACAAGAUGAUGGAAACAAUAAGGAUUCCUAUACAUCAACUACAGUUGCGGCAAGUGACACUUUGCCAGGACCAUCAGGGAGCAAUGGUAUUGGUCGAGGAAAAGAACUGAAGAGGAGAAAGAGCAGAACAAAGUCGGUUAACCCUCCUCUUCAUAGUUCAUCGCCAAAAUCCUCAAGUCCUGUGUUAUUUGAUAAAGAUACUAGCAACAACUCUACGUCAGACUUGAAUUAUUCCUAUUCUGAUAUCAGUGAUGUUGAGUCUGAUUGCAGUGGAGACAAGCAGCAAAGAACAGGCAAACGCACACUGGAAAUCUUAUCUUCGCCUAGACCAAGAGAUGCCAGGACAUUUCACAAGUCCAAACAGCUCAAAGGGAAAAUCCACUCGCACAUUGAACCUGAAGAUGUCGAUUCGCUGUUGAUGCCACAAGAGUUACCGCCAAGAAGCCAUAGACGUGCGAAGAAAAUCUUGGACCUCUUGAGCUUAAAAGGCCAAGCGCUAACCAACGGUAAUAAAAUAAUUAACCGACGACAAAAGGAACAUCAAAGCAGCACAAAGCUCGCCGUAAUAAGAGACUUACACAACCGUUGUAUCGUAUCGUUAGAGCUCUAUACACGUUCGUAAGCGGCCCAUGGACGAUACAGUCUAAGGUGAACGCACUACAAGGACAAAAGGCGCUGUCACGAACCUAAUGGUCCUAUGAGAUUUAUAAUUGCCAUUCUGCUUGGAACACUCAUGUUUCAAGGUUCGUCGUUACCGUU